rnacentral:rRNA from 1 species
GACGAACGCUGGCGGCGUGCUUAACACAUGCAAGUCGAGCGGUAAGGCCUCUUUGGGGGUACACGAGCGGCGAACGGGUGAGUAACACGUGGGCGACCUGCCCUCAGCUCUGGGAUAAGCCUGGGAAACUGGGUCUAAUACCGGAUAUGACCUCUUGUUGCAUGACGUGGGGUGGAAAGCCUGGUCUUAAUUGAUUCGGCGGCUGGGGAUGGGCCCGCGGCCUAUCAGCUUGUUGGUGGGGUGAUGGCCUACCAAGGCGA